rnacentral:rRNA from 1 species
AUUGAACGCUGGCGGCAGGCCUAACACAUGCAAGUCGAGCGAGCGGCGGACGGGUGAGUGAUGUCUGGGAAACUGCCUGAUGGGGGGGGGUAUCUACUGGAAACGGUAGCUAAUACAGCCUACCCUCAGCUGUGCCCAGAUGGGAUAAGCUAGUAGGUGGGGUAACGGCUCACCUAGACGACGAUCCCUAGCUGUGCUGAGAGGAUGACCAGCCACACUGGGACUGAUGCACGGCCCAGACUACUACGGGAGGCAGCAGUGGGGAAUAUUGCACGAGGGGGGCAAGCCUGAUACAGCCAUGCCGCGUGAGUGAAGAAGGCCUUCGGGUUGUAAAGCACUUUCGGCAGCGAGGCGUUAACCACAGAAGAAGCACCGGCUAACUCCGUGCCAGCAGCCGCGGUAAUAC